UGAGCAAUCUGCCCUUCUCAUCGGAAUAAGCGUUGGAAACGACGUCUAAUGCCGAAUACGACCUCCUUUCGCAUGAUCGGAGGUGGAAAGCUCCGGCGGAGAAGGAUGAGCUCGCGGCCUAUCAGCUAGUUGGUGUGGGUAACGGCCCUCCAAGGCGACGACGGGUAGCCGGCCUGAGAGGGUGACCGGCCACACUGGGACUGAGACACGGCCCAGACCUCCGUACGGGAGGNAGCG
rnacentral:rRNA from 1 species